CACGUACUGUGCGAACGCUAUUCGGAAUCACUGGGCUUAAAGGGUGCGUAGGCGGCCAGUUAAGUAGGGUGUGAAAGCUCUCGGCUCAACCGAGGAAUUGCGCUCUAAACUGAUUGGCUUGAGUGAGAUAGGGGUGUGCGGAACUUCCGGUGGAGCGGUGAAAUGUGUUGAUAUCGGAAGGAACACCAGUAGCGAAGGCGGCACACUGGGUCUUCACUGACGCUGAGGCACGAAAGCUAGGGGAGCAAACGGG
rnacentral:misc_RNA from 1 species